AUUUUCCAAUUAAACGAUACAGCGACGACAAGCGUAAGCGUAUUUUACCUCAUAAAAAUUCCUCGAAUGUUUGGUGUGGAUGGAGGGCAACAAAGGGAUCAGUAUAGGACUGCGACUCCUCCGCGAUAAAGGGGACGUAAUCACGAGGGGUGCGAAGGCCUCCGAAGCCAGAUCAAGUCGCAAGAUCAAGGAUAGAAUUGCGAACAAGGAAGCGAGGAUCCAGGGUUAAUAACGUCGAAUAUGGUGAUUCCUGAGCGGUGGAUCGGAGGUGGAUCGUUAAUGGAAGAAGGCCCGUCGUGAUUUCAAUCAGCCUGACCUCCGAUUUCCGACUUCCCUGUACGUGAUUCGG